ensembl:snoRNA small nucleolar RNA SNORA2/SNORA34 family
AUGGACCUGAAUCAAGGCUGGCAGUUUUCUGAAGGGGGUUUCAACCAAAGGCCUAAAGUAGUGUCUUUUUAUGGUCUUUUGGCCAUCUCAGAACUUUACUACAGAAAUGUAAUGGUCAGUUAAUUAGAAAGAAACCACU